UACGAAGGGGGCUAGCGUUGCUCGGAAUCACUGGGCGUAAAGGGUGCGUAGGCGGGUCUUUUAAGUCAGGGGUGAAAUCCUGGAGCUCAACUCCAGAACUGCCUUUGAUACUGAGGAUCUUGAGUUCGGGAGAGGUGAGUGGAACUGCGAGUGUAGAGGUGAAAUUCGUAGAUAUUCGCAAGAACACCAGUGGCGGAAGGCGGACUCACUGGCCCGAGUACUGACGCUGAGGCACGAAAGCGUGGGGAG
rnacentral:rRNA from 1 species